AUUGAACGCUGGCGGCAGGCUUAACACAUGCAAGUCGAGCGGGGUGAUGGUGCUUGCACUAUCACUUAGCGGCGGACGGGUGAGUAAUGCUUAGGAAUCUGCCUAUUAGUGGGGGACAACAUCUCGAAAGGGAUGCUAAUACCGCAUACGUCCUACGGGAGAAAGCAGGGGAUCACUUGUGACCUUGCGCUAAUAGAUGAGCCUAAGUCGGAUUAGCUAGUUGGUGGGGUAAAGGCCCACCAAGGCGACGAUCUGUAGCGGGUCUGAGAGGAUGAUCCGCCACACUGGGACUGGGACACGGCCCAGACUCCUACGGGAGGCAGCAGUGGGGAAUAUUGGACAAUGGGGGGAACCCUGAUCCAGCCAUGCCGCGUGUGUGGAGAAGGCCUUAUGGUUGUAAAGCACUUUAAGCGAGGAGGAGGCUCUUUUGGUUAAUACCCAAGAUGAGUGGACGUUACUCGCAGAAUAAGCACCGGCUAACUCUGUGCCAGCCGCCGCGGUAA
rnacentral:rRNA from 1 species